rnacentral:lncRNA from 1 species
GCCCUUCUGGCGGAUGGUCGAUGUGGGGCGCGGGAUCUAAGAGGUGUGGGUUUUCUUUUGCCGCCGCCAUCGGGCCAUUAGGGAUCGGAUCUUUGACGGGCUGUGGGACGUUGGCGUCUCCUACAGCAGCCGCUGCAUCAUCCAUGGUGGGGCUUUGUCUCUUGGUCCUGGCUGUUUGCUGCCUGAAUAUCCAUCUCAGCUUUGACGUAUCUGUCCUUGAUCGUCUUUUUUGCACCGGGGUGGCCUGAUUGUGGGUCUUGUAUAUCGUUUUGUGUGUUGUUCCCGUAUUUUGCAAGGAUUCUAGCUUAUGAAUCCAUUUAUCAUUAGACCAGAUAUUACUGAGAGCCAAAACACACUGAUUCUAGCUUAUUUCGCUUACUUUUUAGAGCAAAGGAUUUCCUUCUAGCAUCAGUGAUAGCAAAGUUCAGACACCAAGAUUUAACUUGGCAUUGUGUGUACUUCGAUCUUACUGAUAGCCUAAUGCGGUAGAUCGACAUUGGGAAUACGCGGUUGAUCUUACACUGUCUGAGGAAUGUUACUAAUUCAUCUGCCCUUACGAUAUCUUUAUUCAACUUAAGGAGAGUUCUUUUUUCGUACACUUCCAUCGCCGGCACAGCGUAGCAGAUAUAAAAUCAAUAGUUAAAAAACACUUGCCUGUUUUACAGUAUACACUCAAUUCUGUUUAU